rnacentral:rRNA from 1 species
GAUGAACGCUGGCGGCGUGCCUAACACAUGCAAGUCGAGCGAGGGUUUGCUCAGUAUUGAGUAUUCUAAAACUAGAAUGUUCAAUUCUGAGCAAAACCAAGCGGCGGACGGGUGAGUAACGCGUGGGUAACCUGCCCUAUACACAUGGAUAACAUACUGAAAAGUUUACUAAUACAUGAUAAUAUAUAUUUGCGGCAUCGCAGAUAUAUCAAAGUGUUAGCGGUAUAGGAUGGACCCGCGUCUGAUUAGCUAGUUGGUGAGAUAACUGCCCACCAAGGCGACGAUCAGUAGCCGACCUGAGAGGGUGAUCGGCCACAUUGGAACUGAGACACGGUCCAAACUCCUACGGGAGGCAGCAGUGGGGAAUAUUGCACAAUGGGCGAAAGCCUGAUGCAGCAACGCCGCGUGAACGAUGAAGGUCUUCGGAUCGUAAAGUUCUGUUGCAGGGGAAGAUAAUGACGGUACCCUGUGAGGAAGC